ACAGAUUGGAACACUGAAGGAUUACUACCACUUCUACCAUAGUAAAACUAUUAAAAGAUCAGUUCUCUCAAGUAGAGGUACCCACAGCUUCAUUUCAAUGGAACCAAAGGUGGAGUGGAUACAACAGCAGGUGGUAAAAAGAAGGAUAAAGAGGGAUUAUAAACCUGGUGGUACCCAAUCCACUUAUUUCAAUGACCCCAAGUGGCCAAGCAUGUGGUACAUGGAUGUCAAAUAAAAAUAUGAGUCAAAGGCCACAAAAAAUGGUAGAGUGGAAAGAAUUGUCUCUCUGAGGAAAUAUUCAUCCUUUGUGAAUACUGUAUCCCCAGGGCUGAUGGUGCACAGUUGAGGCCCAGGAGCAGCUGUUCUGUUCACAUAUUCUCUCUAAUUAAUACAAGAAUUGCCAUAC